rfam:Oryza glaberrima chromosome 4 Oglab04_0133_31, whole genome shotgun sequence.
AAAAAGACAAAUCCUGGUUUCCAUAUCCAACGUUUGACUGUCCGUCUUAUAUGUAAAUUUUUUUAUAAUUAGUAUUUUCAUUGUUGUUAAAUGAUAAAACAUGAUUAAUACUUUAUGCGUAACUUGUCUUUUUAAUUUUUUUCAUAAUUUUUUUAAAUAAGACGGAUGGUCAAACAUUGGACACGGAAACUUAGGGUUUGUCUUUUU